GAUUCCCUCAGUAGCUGCGAGCGAACAGGGAAGAGCCCAGCACUGAAUCCCGCGUCCGACACCGGACGCCGGGAAAUGUAGUGUUUGGGAGGAUCCAUUUAUCCCGAGAUCGUGCAAUGCGUCCAAGUCCUUCUUGAACGGGGCCACAGCCCAUAGAGGGUGCCAGGCCCGUAGCUGACCACUGCCGAUAGCGGGAGGAUCUCUCCUCAGAGUCGGGUUGCUUGAGAGUGCAGCCCUAAGUGGGUGGUAAACUCCAUCUAAGGCUAAAUAUGACCACGAGACCGAUAGCGAACAAGUACCGUGAGGGAAAGUUGAAAAGCACUUUGAAGAGAGAGUUCAAGAGUACGUGAAACCGUUCAGGGGUAAACCUGAGAAACCCGAAAGGUCGAAAGGGGAAAUUCAUUCGUGUCUCGAUACUGGCAAUUAAUGGUUGUAUGACAAAUGUUGUUCGCAACAAGUUGCAUCAAUUGUUUUUUGGUCCAGUUGUCGAAUGCGUGCACUUUUCCCCUAGUAGGACGUCGCGAUCCGUUGGGUGUCGGUCUAAGGCCCAUAGUGGAGCCCGUAUGUACGGUUUACGCCGUUUAACGUAUGGACCUAUGGUGUUUCCCGGCCGGCUCGCUCGACGGUAUACAGAUGGCGCGGAGCCGCGAUUUAGUUCGCGUUCGGCCCAUGGCAAGCGCGUACGGUGUUUGUUGGCGAUCGGACCUAGUGCCGAUCCUGACCCCGGACGACUGUUGGCUGUGGUGUUCUCGAACAGACUCCGUUGAAACGCCGAUCUGCGGCGCUAUAGCUUUGGGUACUUUCAGGACCCGUCUUGAAACACGGACCAAGGAGUCUAGCAUGUGCGCGAGUCAUUGGGACAUGACUAAACCUAAAGGCGCAAUGAAAGUAAAGGUUCGUUUUACACGAACCAAGGGAAGAUGAGUGGUUUGCCCUUAAAGUGGCYACUCCGCAUUCCCGGGGCGUCUCAUUCUCAUCGCGAGAAGAGGCGCACCAAGAGCGUACACGCUGGGACCCGAANNNNNNNNNNNNNNNNNNNNNNNNNNNNNNNNNNNNNNNNNNNNNNNNNNNNNNNNNNNNNNNNNNNNNNNNNNNNNNNNNNNNNNNNNNNNNNNNNNNNCCUAUUCUCAAACUUUAAAUGGGUGAGAUCUCCGGCUUGCUCGAACUUGAAGCCGUGAGAACACUUUUUACGGAUCAGAGUGCCAAGUGGGCCAUUUUUGGUAAGCAGAACUGGCGCUGUGGGAUGAACCAAACGCUGAGUUAAAGCGCCUAAAUCGACGCUUAUGGGAUACCAUGAAAGGCGUUGGUAACUUAAGACAGCAGGACGGUGGCCAUGGAAGUCGGAAUCCGCCAAGGAGUGUGUAACUACUCACCUGCCGAAGUUACUAGCCCUGAAAAUGGAUGGCGCUGAAGCGUCGUGCUUAUACUCAGCCGUCAGUGGCAUGUGCGGUCGCACCUUGCAAAAUAGGUGGGCCAUGAAGCCCUGACGAGUAGGAGGGUCGCGGCGGUGAGCGCAGAAGGGCUGGCCGUGAGGCCGUCUGGAGCCGCCGUCGGUGCAGAUCUUGGUGGUAGUAGCAAAUACUCCAGCGAGGCCCUGGAGGACUGACGUGGAGAAGGGUUUCGUGUGAACAGCCGUUGCACACGAGUCAGUCGAUCCUAAGCCCUAGGCGAAAGCCGAUGUUGAUGUGGUGUUUUUUAUUUAUAAUUUUUAUUUUUGAAUUAUUAAAAAUAAUUGUACACACCCAUUGGGCGAAAGGGAAUCCGGUUCCUAUUCCGGAACCCGGCAGCGGAACCGUCAAUAAGUCGGGCCCUCGCAAGAGAGUUCGUCGGGGCAACCCAAAAGGACCCGGAGACGCCGUCGGGAGAUCCGGGAAGAGUUUUCUUUUCUGCAUGAGCGUUCGAGUUCCAUGGAAUCCUCUAGCAGGGAGAUAUGGUUUGGAACGCGAAGAGCACCGCAGUUGCAGCGGUGUCCGGAUCUUCCCCUCGGACCUUGAAAAUCCGGGAGAGGGCCACGUGGAGGCGUCGCGCCGGUUCGUACCCAUAUCCGCAGCAGGUCUCCAAGGU
rnacentral:rRNA from 1 species